rnacentral:rRNA from 1 species
UACGGGGGGGGCAAGCGUUGUUCGGAAUUACUGGGCGUAAAGGGCGCGUAGGCGGUUCGCUAAGUUGGAUGUGAAAACUCUGGGCUUAACCCAGAGCCUGCAUCCAAAACUGGCAAACUUGAGUACUGGAGGGGAAAGCGGAAUUCCUGGUGUAGCGGUGAAAUGCGUAGAUAUCAGGAGGAACACCGGUGGCGAAGGCGGUUCUCUGGGCAUGAUCUGACGCUGAGGAGCGAAAGUGUGGGGAGCGAAGAGG